UACAGAGGUCUCAACCGUUGUUCGGAUUCAUUGGGCGUAAAGGGUGCGUAGGCGGUCGGGUAAGUCGGAUGUGAAAUCCCAGGGCUCAACCCUGGAACUGCAUUCGAUACUGCCUGGCUAGGGUACUGGAGAGGAGACUGGAAUUUACGGUGUAGCAGUGAAAUGCGUAGAUAUCGUAAGGAAGACCAGUGGCGAAGGCGAGUCUCUGGACAGUUACCGACGCUGAGGCACGAAGGUCAGGGGAGCAAACAGG
rnacentral:rRNA from 1 species